CUCAGAGUGAACGCUGGCGGCAGGCCUAACACAUGCAAGUCGAACGGCAGCACAGUGGUAGCAAUACCAUGGGUGGCGAGUGGCGGACGGGUGAGGAAUACAUCGGAAUCUACCUUUUCGUGGGGGAUAACGUAGGGAAACUUACGCUAAUACCGCAUACGACCUUAGGGUGAAAGCGGAGGACCUUCGGGCUUCGCGCGGAUAGAUGAGCCGAUGUCGGAUUAGCUAGUUGGCGGGGUAAAGGCCCACCAAGGCGACGAUCCGUAGCUGGUCUGAGAGGAUGAUCAGCCACACUGGAACUGAGACACGGUCCAGACUCCUACGGGAGGCAGCAGUGGGGAAUAUUGGACAAUGGGCGCAAGCCUGAUCCAGCCAUGCCGCGUGGGUGAAGAAGGCCUUCGGGUUGUAAAGCCCUUUUGUUGGGAAAGAAAAGCAGUCGGGUUAAUACCCGAUUGUUCUGACGGUACCCAAAGAAUAAGCACCGGCUAACUUCGUGCCAG
rnacentral:rRNA from 1 species